rnacentral:rRNA from 1 species
GACGAACGCUGGCGGCGUGCUUAACACAUGCAAGUCGAACGAUGAAGCUGGAGCUUGCUCCGGUGGAUUAGUGGCGAACGGGUGAGUAACACGUGAGCAAUCUGCCCUUGACUCUGGGAUAACUGCGGGAAACUGUAGCUAAUACCGGGUAUGAGGCUCGAAGGCAUCUUCGGGUCUGGAAAGAAUUUCGGUCAAGGAUGAGCUCGCGGCCUAUCAGCUUGUUGGUGAGGUAAUGGCUCACCAAGGCGACGACGGGUAGCCGGCCUGGGAGGGUGACCGGCCACACGGGGACUGAGACACGGCCCAGACUCCUACGGGAGGCAGCAGUGGGGAAUAUUGCACAAUGGGCGAAAGCCUGAUGCAGCAACGCCGCGUGAGGGAUGAAGGCCUUCGGUUUGUAAACCUCUUUUAGCAGGGAAGAAGCGAAAGUGACGGUACCUGCAGAAAAAGCACCGGCUAACUACGUGCCAGCCGCCGCAGUAA